AUUCAUUAAUUGUUAGUAGUUUACUGUCACUGUCUUUGUAGAAUAAUUUGGUCAAUUACAUUACAUUCUUGAAUACCGCUACAUUCAAUCAAGGUCGUGACAAUUUGCUAACGGUAAAACCUUCGAUGAAUGGCUCUUCGCCUUGUCGGUCACAACUGAACUGUCCAAUCAGCUGUCUUCAAACUGAGACCGUGAUGAAUUCAAUAUGGACGUAAAAUGUACCAGUUAGCCAGCUAGCUAGCUUUUUGCCGAAAUUUUGUUAAUAAACAAGCUUCAGUUUUAUUUCGGUGUUGUGACGGAAACAGCUGUCUCUGCUUCUCAUAACUGCUUAGUUUAUUUUCAACCGCACUGUAUUUGCGUUUUUUAAAAUAUAAUUCAAACAGGGGAAGAUCACUUGGAGAAAAGUGUGAAGAGGCUGGUUUGAUGUGCACGGCACAGAGAGAGGAGGCACCAUGAGUGGGGAGCUGGAUGUGCUGACUGUGGUGAACCAGCUACGAGAUCUUGCAGCUGACCCCCUCAACAGACGAGCCAUAGUACAGGACAAUGGCUGCUUACCAGGGCUCAUCCUCUUUCUGGACCACCCCAACCCUCAGGUUGUCUACUCCGCAUUAUUGGCAGUGCGCUACCUUGCAGAAUGUCGGUCCAACAGAGAGAAAAUGAAGGGAGAGCUGGGCAUGAUGCUGAGUCUGCAGAAUGUCAUGCAGAAGAGCACCUCCCCAGGGGAGACCAAGCUUCUGGCGUCUGAGAUUUAUGAGAUUCUGCAGGCGGCUGGUAAUGACCAGGCAGAGCAGGCCGAGGCUGAAGCCGCCUCCUGCAGACGCAAGGCCCACUUCUUCAUGGGCUCCACCAACAAGCGGGCCAUGACCGUGGUGCUGCACAUCAAUGGCCUGGACGACUCAGCUCGUAGAAGUCUGUGUGAGGAGGCCCUGCUGAAGAUCCCAGGGGUGAUCAGCUUCACCUUCCAGAUGGCUGUGAAGAGGUGUGUGGUCAGGAUCCGCUCUGACCUCAAGGCUGAGGCGCUGGGCACGGCGAUCAACUCCACCAAGGUGAUGACGGCUGCACAGGUAGUGAAGGGAGAGGAUGGAGGAGAGCUGAUGCUUCCAUUCCAGGAGGGUGCGGAGGUGGUGGUGGUGGAGCACAACGUGGAUGUCCCAGACUACCUCCCUGAGGAGGAAAGCCCAUCUCAGGAGCAGGACAAGGCCGUGACCCGUGUGGGCUCCAUCACAGAUGGUGUGGGCUGGCUCAGCACCGCCGCCAACUUCCUGUCCCGCUCCUUCUACUGGUGACCACUUCCUGUAGCGUGUGCUGUGAUGACGAUCCUCAUUGGAAGAGAAUACUUUGGCCUUGUUGAACUUCAGAUUGUGAAUAAAUCCAUUACAUUUGAGCAUAUCAAUUACGGAAUCUAUUUGAAGCUGCAGUACAUGGCUGAUAUGGGACAGCAAAGAAAACGUGUACAUUUUCCAUGUGGCACUGAAGCCUGUUACACAACUCCAGGCAUGUUGGCUGCGGCCUCCGUCCGCCUUCUCCUCUCCAACAGCUAGUGGACGUCGCGAUGAGCAAUGGAUCCAUCUGGUGUGUCCUCUCCUCCAACUGGUGUGUGAACAUGAAGUAUAGAUGGCAUUUUUACCAGCCCAGAGCCACUGCUACCUGGAAGAUAUGGCAUAUACACUGAGUAUACAAAACAUUAGGAAACUUCCUAGUAUUGAGUUACAGACCCUUUUGCCCUCAGAACUGCUUAAAGUCUUCGGGGCAUGGACUCUACAAGGUACCAAAAGGGAUGGCAUUGGACAUGGGAAACUAACCUCUGACCUCAUUUGAUUGUGUAAACUCAAGGACCUAACCAGGUCAAAAUAGUAUUUAUACUGAACAAAAAUAUAAAUGCGUCAUGCAACAAUUUCAAAGGUUUUACUGGGUUACAGUUCAUAUCAGUAAAUACAUGAAUUAGGCCCGAAUCUAUGGAUUUCACAUGACUGGGCAGGAGUGCAGACAAUAGUAGGCCUGGGAGGGCAUAGGACCACCUAUUUGGUAGCCAGGCCCAGCCAAUCAGAAUUAGUUUUCCCCCACAAAAUGGCUGUAUUACAGGCAGAAAUAACCUAAUAGUGUACAGUGUAGGUUAAUGUAGUCAAGACAGUGUUUUCUAUAGGCAAGAGAACAUAAUGUUUAAAUGAGACUAAUUACCUAUUAUUUUAUAUACGCAUUAAAUGUGGUUUUAUGGAUGAAUUUGCAUGUUAAUUUACACAGUUCUAGAAGUCUUAGCCAGCCAGCUGGUUAUCAGUGUUGAUUGAAUUGUAGUCUCUCUCACCUCCAGACCUCGAUGUAAAGUAACACUGUAUGCUGAGGGCCUGUGUAAUUGUGGGUUUGUGGCAGGGCUGUUGAACAGAAGGUCUGCACUCUUCUUUCCCUGUCUCUCCUUCCCUCUCUCCUCCUCUUUCUUUCCAUCCCUUCCUCUCUCCCGGUCUCUCCCUCCCUCGCUACCUCUCUCCCUCCCCCAUCCAUCUCUCUCUGUUAGUCCUCCCUCACCCCCUUUUCAUAACGGUGACAGAUGGCUUCAGGCGAAUCUCUCAUAAUCAUGUCAGGACGGGUCCUUCGAUCCCAAUUCAACACAUUUCAUCAGAGAGAGAAUUACACACAGAUUAAGCCUGCUGCUAGAACAGACAACAAAGGCACACAAAGAUGGGCCUGGCAAACAAGUGUUCCUUUAAUCAUGUGACUCCUGUCACACCACCUCACCCUCUUACCACAACAGAAUGAACCCUGUCACACCACCUCACCCUCUUACCACAACAGAAUGAACCCAGUCACACCACCUCACCCUCUUACCAAAACAGAAUGAACCCGCUGAAAUUGGACUUCUCCCAAGUUCCUCUGGGUCCAAAUCACUAAGGACUUAAAAUGGUCCACUCACACGCGCACAGUCAUGAAGGAAGUUUGGUGUGGCCCUCAAAACAUCAAAAAGUUAUACAGCUGCACCAUUGAGAGCAUCUUGACUGGCUGCAUCACUGCUUGGUAUGGUAACAGCACCACCCUCGAUCGCAUACACUGCCGAGGGUGGUGCGGACAGCCCAGUACAUCACUGCUCGGUAUGGUAACGGCACCACCCUCGAUCACAUACACUGCCGAGGGUGGUGCGGACAGCCCAGUACAUCACUGCUCGGUAUGGUAACGGCACCACCCUCGAUCACAUACACUGCCGAUGGUGGUGCGGACAGCCCAGUACAUCACUGCUCGGUAUGGUAACAGCACCGCCCUCGAUCACAUACACUGCCGAGGGUGGUGCGGACAGCCCAGUACAUCACUGGGGCCAAGCUUCCUGCCAUUCAGGACUUCUAUAUCAGGCGGUGUGAAAGGAAGGCCUAGAAAAUUGUUAAGGCUCCAGUCAUCCAAGCCAUAGACUGUUUUCUCUGUUUCCACACAGCAAGCGGUACUGGCACAUGAAGUCUGACACCUACAGGUUCCUGAACAGCUUCUACCCCCAAGCCAUAAUGCUGCUAAAUACCUAACAAACGGGCUAUCUGAGUUGACUCUUGUAUUUAUGUUUUGCACUGUCUAUGCACACUCACAGGAAUCUACACACUCACAGGAAUCUACACACUCACUCGCUCACUCACACUGACACAGCAAAAACACAUAACACGCACACACAUUUAUGCUGACUCUACACACAAGCACAUACUCACAUACAAUCUUAAUUUAUGCUGUUGCUACUCUAUCAUAUAUCCUGAUGCCUAGUCACCUUACCCCUAUAUAUACAUAUAUAUAUAUAUAUACCCCUACCACUCCAGUAUCCCUGCAUAUUGUAAAUAUGGUAUUGGACCUGACCAAUAUAAAGCUUCUUACUUUCUCGUG